AGGCAACAUCACAUAUGAAAGAUGUACUAAACGCCGCAGAUUCAGUAAACCAAAUUGGUACACCACAAAGUGUACCAUCGCAACUGCUUGGUACACAACAAAGUGUUAUUUCUCAGGAGAACUUCGAAAUGCAUGGCCCUCAUGUUGAUUAAUGGAAGACAUUGUAGACUGCUGCAGAAGACAAUGUAGACUUUUGUAUUAAUGAGAUUUGAUGGGUUUGGAUUGUGUAUUUACAUUGUAGACUGUUGAUGGGUUUGAUUUAUUUAAUGAAAUUUGAAGA